UUAUGAUGAUCCCUUUAGAUGACGAGUCUUAUUCGAGUUAUCGAUGCAGACAACAUCCUUUUAAUACCAUUCAUGCUUCUCUGACA
rnacentral:snoRNA from 1 species